UCCACAUCCAGAAGUUUCUGGAACUGGGUCUGGUGGUUUGGGGUAUACUCAGUAGGUUCCCUGUUGCCGGACUCAGACUCCAUGAGGGCAAGGAGGCAGGGCAGCUGCUUUUCAGAAGGCCACAUGCACUGUGUGGAUUGGGAGAAGCUGAGCCCAGGGAGCAGAAAGCAGGCUGUUGUCCCUAACUCUGAUGUAUUUUGCAGCAGGGAUUUUUUAAAAAUCUGCAUACUUAACUGAGUGGUUAGUUAAUUGGUUAGCUGACUAGCUAACUGAGUGAUGUCAGCAGAGGAAGAGGAAGAGUCUGCAUGCAGUCCAGCUGAAAUUUUCUACAAGGAAGCAGAAGAAAGAUGUUAUUUUUGACUCAGCACAGCAGACUGGAUAGAUCUGGUGACCAAAGACUAAACUUGACUGCAGGGAGGCUGACCCUGUGGAAUUCUUGCUGAAAAUCUUGUUUGACUGAAUUCUGAGUCUCCAGAUGCUUUGCUAUGGGAGUUGGGUUUUUAGGCAUUGGAGGAGGGCACUGAUGUAAACUAGCCCAUCCAAAAGUUACACUGUACCCUAAGAAUUCAAACUCUAUGAAUUGUAUGGAGG